UUAUUCUAUAGGCUAAACGAUAUGUGUCAGUCAUUUCUAUGAAUUCUGAUCAACUGUUCAUUGUGCAAUAACAGAAUCCCAAUUACCUUCUUUAUUUUGUUGCAGUUUUGCAUGUGACUAAUCCAGGAAGCCUUGCUGCAAGAAAGUUAACUGUUUUUGUUUUCCUUUGUCCUACAGCUCUUGUUCUUACAAACCACCUUUUCUCUAGUGUUACCUUCACCUAGUGAAUCCAUUUGCAAGAAAACCAACAGCUCUUUUAAGAGUUUCUUCUAUACUACUUGUGACUCACCCCCACUCCUCUCUCUCUUAAAAUUUCACUGUCCUAUGGUUCUUUAUUUUUCUUUCACCUAACUAUCUUUCACCUUACUCUCUUUCAGCCUGCCUAUUUGUUUUUCCUGACUUUCCCUUUAGCCUCCCUAUACCUCGUCCACAAUCCUUCUUUUUGUCUAUCCACUUUUUUUAUCUUCCUUUGCAAUAUAGGAUUGUUGAAAUGUCUGCUCAGCAAAACAGAGGGAAAGCAGAGGAUGCUAUUUUCCUCACAGACAUGCUUCUUUCUCAAAAAAAAGGCAAAGGAAGCCAAGGGCAAAGCAACAUCCGCCUGUAAUAAAUGUAAUGUCCGAUGGGUGGAGAAAGAUGCUGAAGGACGCCCACUGCUUAAAAGAAGCAGAAGUGGAGAGACACGAAAACGAGCUUCAGCUACAGUAGUUGUCAGUGAGGAUGCUACUACUUUUGAGUCAGCUACGGAGGUUCCCACAGUUACCCAAUCAAACGGCUCUGAACAUUUAUUUGAGAGUGAGAUGCAUCAAUUGCAGGACAUUCUGACCUCAGCAAAUGUUCAAGGCACAAACAAGAGUCCAUCAACAUCCAAAUCUUGGUCCUUGCGCCAAUCUGUAGCCCAAGAGGAGUGGCAGAAAGCAAGGUCCCAUCACUUUAACUGCUUGCUGUCCUGCAGUUUGGCUCCAGAACAGUGCCAUCAUUCGCUGCAAAGACUGCAUGCCAGAAGAGUGGCUGUGUAUGGAUUGUGACAUACACAUACACAAAAAACUCACCCUUCAUAACAGGGAGUCCUGCAUUGAGGGAAUUUACAAGCCCAUUGAUCCAACAGUGCUGUGUAAAAAAAGAUGGGUAAUAUACACUGGUCAAUCAAGGUAGUGUUCUGAAUAUUUUUGGUGAAGUGGUGAAUUUUUUUUUUUUACUUUUAUUUAAAAUACAAUCAUAAUUGGACAUUUUUAUGCUUUCUCGCUAAUUAUGGAUCUGUGCGUUUAUUGCCUACAGUGAGACCUGUCCAAUUAUGUACUUGUGACCCUGUAAACACCACUGAAUCAGCUGGCAGAGAAAUCAUUUUGGUUUGCAUAAAUGGUAAUUCUUAAUUAAAGUAUAACCAAAUAUUGUGCUGUAUUUUAAUUUUAGGCCGGUAUGAUUUGCAUUUGCCAAAUUUGUUGUGCAAAGUAUGUCUGGCACAGUGGUCACCUGACAUGAGAGACCUAAUAAGAAGUGGGUAUUGGCCAGCAUCUGUGAAUGCUGAGACGCUGCCUUCUAAGACAUUUGAAGAAAUGAAAACUAUUGCACCCAGUUUAUCAAGACAAGGUUUUUUGCAGAUGUUGGAGAGGAGGACUUGUCACUUUGGAAGGGAUGGAAAAAUACAUGGAGAUGCAUUCCAAAAAAUCUUUAUGGAAUACACAUUCUGCCAGCACCAGUGUGAGAAAAUGACAUGUGUAGAGCACUUCACCUGCCCGGCAUGUUCACCCAACACCCUUGCUCUUUGUGCAGAUGGCAACAGAAAACUAUACCGAUUUCGUCAGUCAAAAGGGUCAAAAGAACCACAUUUUGAUGGUACCUUCAUUGCAAAGGACACUGAUGUACACCAUUGUGUUGAUGAGAUCAGGAGUAAAAUGAAAAGUACUGCUGGCAGAGGGAUUUGUGGAGCCAGUCAGUGGUCUGCUGCACGUGAAACUGCCAGAAGAGCAAGCAAACUGGAUGAAGAGGGUCUGGAGGUGGUUGUCUGCAGACAUGGACUAAUACUCAAGGCUCUUAACAUGUACAGAGGGGAAAUAUUCGCCUAUCCACUGUACCUGCAGAAGGCGCUCCAAGCAGCCACAAAUGGACAGUUCCAUUGCACGGAUAUUGCAUGCAAGUAUUGGCCCUACCUAGAGAAGCUGGCAGUCUCCAUGUUGGAACUCAGACCUUUACUGCAGAUGAGACCAUUCCUUUCUGUCAUGCAUGCCAAGGCUCAUUCAACCAAGUGUGAGAUAAUCUGGAGUGGCAAGAAUCAGGAAGGUGCAUCAAGACUUUUAAAAAGGCUGAGGCUGAGUCUCAGAGACUUGAGGAUUUGAGAAGUGAACUAGGGUGUCCUCAGAACACUGUGCUUCAGUGGGUACAUGAUGUCAGACAGUGGGCUACUGAUGAUUCGGUAGGUACCAGAUGUGAUGAACAACAUAACCUUCAGAAAUCAAUUGAACAAAUGUUUCUUGGAGUUCAUCAAAAAAAAAAAAAAAACGCCAGCCUUUAUAAUCAGACUGACAGCAACAAAAUUCGACAUUUGCGUCAAAGGAAAUUGUGGGAAGAGAAGAGAAAACUUUUGCAAGCAAUCAAGCUCUACAGUGAGCAGAUGCCAGAUGAGGAGCGCAUCGCUGAGGAGAAGAAUCCAGCAACAUCCUUACCAAGAAGAAGAGUUUGAUGCGUACAUGUCAAAAGUGUGUCUUGAAGAGGAAAGAAUGAUUGUGAUGAGGGAGAUGCGACAGCACUGCACCUACCUCAGAAAGCUGACUGGGAACAUCAGGACAAUGACAUCAGAAAUGUCUUCUGGCAGAAACAGUGGUAGUAUACCGUAAGUGAAGAAGGUCAUCGAGGACUACUGUGUCUUCUUCAGAAAAGGCUUGCAGAUGUGGAGGACGAGUUCCAAGUCAUAUGCUCAAGUUACAGCCAGGCUUUAGGACCAAAUGCGGCUUCUCUGCUGGAGGAUGGGCCUGAAGAGAUUCUGGAGGACCAUGAAGAAUUUGAUUAUGAGAGUUCAGAUGACAGUGAAUUUGAAGCAAUGGAAAUUAGUGGUUCUUAACUGGUGGGAUGUGUUGAAGAAUGUGUGUCAGUUGUGAGUGGAUUGCAGGUGUGUUUCAAGAAAAACAACAAACUUUAUUUUGAAGUGUACUGGAUGUCUGAUACAGUGCUUUUAUAUUUUUUAAUGUGCUUCUCCAAAACUCUUCUUACAAACAGCAGGUUGGUUAAGUUCCCCUCCAGCUCCAGUGUUUCACAGAAUAUUUCUACAUGCAACUGUGGUGCUACAGCUUGUGAAUUACACCAGCCAUCUUGUCAACAUUAUCACCUUUAAAACCGUUCAUAAUCUAUUCUCCCUACAUUACAUACGUUAAGAAUCUAUGUUACAUAUUACGAUUUCACUAAUUUAAUGCUUUCAGAUUGUUUUAUACUGUACACGCCUGUAUAAUGUUAUUCACAGGUAUUUUGGUCACUUUAGGAGUGAGCCAUUUACUGUAUACUACAUUAAAUAUUUUUUGUAGUGUUUCCUGUUAUUAUUUCUGUUACCAUGCUAACAAAAGAAAAAAUUUAGCCAUGCCUUGUACUUCAGGUAACUAUAAAACAGAAGAAAAAAAAAACAUGAAAUUACUGUAUACAAAUAAAUGUAUUCACACAAAAUAAUAUUUGUACAU